GCCGCCGUAGCGUAGCCUGGCAGCGCACAGGCCUGUGGAGCCUGGAGGCUGGGUUCAAAUCCCGGCGGCGGCC
rnacentral:tRNA from 1 species